rnacentral:rRNA from 1 species
AGGGAAUCUUCCGCAAUGGACGAAAGUCUGACGGAGCAACGCCGCGUGAGUGAUGAAGGUCUUCGGAUCGUAAAACUCUGUUGUUAGGGAAGAACAAGUAUCGUUCGAAUAGGGCGGUACCUUGACGGUACCUAACCAGAAAGCCACGGCUAACUACGUGCCAGCAGCCGCGGUAAUACGUAGGUGGCAAGCGUUAUCCGGAAUUAUUGGGCGUAAAGCGCGCGCAGGCGGUUUCUUAAGUCUGAUGUGAAAGCCCACGGCUCAACCGUGGAGGGUCAUUGGAAACUGGGAAGCUUGAGUGCAGAAGAGGAGAGUGGAAUUCCAUGUGUAGCGGUGAAAUGCGUAGAGAUAUGGAGGAACACCAGUGGCGAAGGCGACUCUCUGGUCUGCAACUGACGCUGAGGCGCGAAAGCGUGGGGAGCGAAC